GAUGAACGCUGGCGGCGUGCCUAAUACAUGCAAGUCGAGCGAACAGACGCGGAGCUUGCUCCUCUGACGUUAGCGGCGGACGGGUGAGUAACACGUGGAUAACCUACCUAUAAGACUGGGAUAACUUCGGGAAACCGGAGCUAAUACCGGAUAAUAUAUUGAACCGCAUGGUUCAAUAGUGAAAGACGGUUUUGCUGUCACUUAUAGAUGGAUCCGCGCCGCAUUAGCUAGUUGGUAAGGUAACGGCUUACCAAGGCAACGAUGCGUAGCCGACCUGAGAGGGUGAUCGGCCACACUGGAACUGAGACACGGUCCAGACUCCUACGGGAGGCAGCAGUAGGGUAUCUUCCGCAAUGGGCGAAAGCUUGACGGAGCAACGCCGCGUGAGUGAUGAAGGUCUUCGGAUCGUAAAACUCUGUUAUUAGGGAAGAACAAAUGUGUAAGUAACUAUGCACGUCUUGACGGUACCUAAUCAGAAAGCCACGGCUAACUACGUG
rnacentral:rRNA from 1 species